rnacentral:tRNA from 1 species
GGCCCGAUAACUCAGCGGUUAGAGUGCGAUUCUUAUAAAAUCGAAGUCGAUGGUUCGAAUCCAUCUCGGGCCACCU